AGGCAGCACAUUUCCAGACGUCCAUCCAAGCAAUUGUUCCACCAAGAGGCAUGCAAGUGAAGAUGAGCUGAGGAAGCGGCUGAAAUCCCAGGGGUCAGCAUUACUGUCAACCGGAGGUGCUCUGCGCAGCACUUCCUCUUCUGACUACAUCCAAGAGCCAAAGUUCUUUCAGUCAGGACAUCCUGGGCAAAAGACAUCUGGGUGCCUGGCAGAGAAAGCCUUGCCGUAUAGCAUGCUCAGCUUCCCCGAAGGCUCUUGCACUGUAUUAAGUCAAGAGCACAAAUCUAGUUCCUUACAUCAUACAGAGGCAGCCGAGCGGUAUAAAAGCCUCCAUAUCCAGAGCGGUGUCGAGUCUGAAGACUUGCUGGCAUCCGGUGUCCCUGCCUGCCCUGCUGACGUCCAAGACUUGGAGGAAACCACCACACAAGAUAGAGCUGCCAAAACUUUCUCCAAUGCCACAUUGGCCUCGGGGAGGUGUAACAUCGACAGCAUCAUCUCCCUGUUGAAAAGCAAGUGUGGCAACGGCAGAAUCAACCUCUACCCUGUGGUGCAGCUCAUAGACAUUAUGAAGGACAUUGACCGACUCUCCCAGGACCUGAAGAGCUGUGGCGUCCACUUAGACUGCAGUGGCUUGCAAUUUGAUAGCCACCUGCCGCUUAGUGAGGAAGGCCGGGGACAAGGUCUUCAUUAUAGCUUCUACUCCUCCCCCAUGUUGGCCAACAGCAUCCGCAGUCCCGAGGAGCUGGCAGUGCAAAGCAGCACCAAAGCUGAGCUCCUCAAGCAGACCCAAUCUGGCCAUUAUGCGGGAGAAACAGAAGGGGACACUCAAGGUGCCCAGGACCAAAUCAGCCAGAGAAGUCCUGUCCUGAAGGCUCCUAGUAGCCUUGAUGAAGCUAGCUCCGAGUCUGAGACGAAUGAUUAUCCUGAACUAACCAAUACGGAUAUCCUAAGCGAACUGGCUUCUUUGGCCUGUCCAGAACCUCAGUUAUUAGAUCAGCAUUCGGAAUCCCACCGUCAGCUGCUAGAAAGCCAAGGGGCUGAGUCAAGGUCUCAAUUAAUUGACUCACAGUCUCUAGAGCACCAGCCCCAGCUAGUAGAUUCCAAGUCUCUGGAGCCACCUCCAGAACCGUUGGCCCUGCAGACAGUGGAUCCCUUGCCUGCACCGCUGGGGCUGCAGCCUCUGGAACCUCUGGAGCUUCAGACUUUAGAACCUCUUUCUGAGUCACUAUCACUCCAGUCCCUAGAACCCCUUUCUGAGCCUCUAGGGCUCCAGUCUUUAGGGACCCUGGACCACCAGUUGCUUGAUUCCCAGUCCCAGCUCCUGGAUCCAGAGGCCCAGCUGCUUUCACCUUUGCCCAAGUUGCUAGACUCUCAGCCCCAUCUGGGAAGGCAGGAGUCUUCAGGAGAACACUCGCUACAACCUGGAGCCCGCCUUGGAGGCUGCUCCUUAAGAGGAGUAGUAAGGCGAGGGGCUGGGCGGGGAAGGGAUGAUCACAGGAAAUAUGCUCUACGGAGAACAGAUAAACCAAAGAUACUCUGUCGUCGUCGUAGGGGAGGCCGAGGGCAGCGAACAGAGAUUGUCACUGACAGCCAAGUCCUCCCCGUGGCUGUACCAGUGGAGGUGGUCAUGGCGCGACCAGAAGAAGCUAGGAUGCCAGUGACCACCAUUGCAGCAAAUCAAGUAGCAGAUCCCAUGGUUUCCACUUUGGAGUCAGAAGAUGGCCAGAAGGCUGCCGCCCUCCUGAAUCCCCCAAAGCCCAAAUGCCGUGGCAUACGUCGGAUGGUGGUAAAGAUGGCCAAGAUUCCCGUCUCUCUUGGGAGGAGGAAUAAGACGACGUACAAGGUCUCCUCCCUCAACAGUAGCUUGAAUGUAGAAGGCAAAGAGGUUGCAAUCUCCCCUUCUUUAGAGCCCACUCCACUGCUGAAGAUGAAAAACAAUGGCCGGAAUGUGGUGGUGGUCUUUCCUCCAGGAGAAAUGCCCAUCAUCCUGAAGCGGAAGAGGGGAAGGCCUCCCAAAAACCUGAUGCUGGGGCCCUGCAAACCUAAGGAGCCUGCCCCAGAAGUGAAGAAACGGAGGAGGAGGAAACAGAAGUUGGCAUCCCCACAGCCCUCUUACGUUGCAGACACCAAUGACAGUAAAGCAGACUAUUCAGAUGUACUGGCCAAGCUAGCUUUCCUCAACCGCCAGAGCCAGUGCUCCGCUCGUUGCUCCCCACCCCGCUGCUGGACCCCAAGCGAGCCCGACUCCAUCCACCAGGCUCCUGACACUCAGAGCAUCUCCCACUUUUUGCACCGAGUACAAGGGUUCCGCAGACGAGGCGGCAAAGGAGGUGGGUUUGGGCGUGGAGGGAGCCACUCUGCCCGUUCCUCUCGUUGCUCCUUCAGCGACUUCUUCGAAGGCAUUGGCAAAAAGAAGAAGGGGGUCCUGGGGACAGCCAUGCAUGUCGACCCCACUCAUCCCCGGAAGAGAGGCCGUCCAGAGCCGGACCCCAUGGAGAAGCCCAAAAGAAAGAGGCGAUCUCGCAAAAACGGGGUCUUGUUUCCUGAGCAGAACCCCAGCCAGAACUUCAGUGAUGGGUCCUCAGAAUGGUGUGGAGAAAAAGAAAGUCUUUGGAUGUCCCACCAAGGACACCUUUCCGGUCAAGCCAACAGGAAUUGCAGCUACCAAGGCAGCGAUUCCCGGACCUUCCACUCCUCAACCGUGGAGUCAAGUUCUUCAAGCCGAACUGGUUUUUAUGGGGGGAGCAAUCCAUCAUCCCAGUCUGAACUCAGCCAGGAAAGGCAGAACCUUUUCACGGGCUAUUUCCGUUCCCUGUUGGAUUCCGAUGACUCCUCUGACCUGUUGGACUUUGCCCUCUCCAAUUCUCGCUCUGCCUCACGGAAAUCCUCAACCACAUAUACAGCUCCGCCUAAUGCUAUCGCAACCCAGAGAGGCAUGGCGUCUUACUCAAGCCGGGGUGGGAAAGCCACACCUUCUUCCACCACCACAACCGUCACGAGCGAGGUGCCCUUCCACACAGUCAGCCGGCAGUCGUUCCCUCCCAACAGAGCAACAGGCUACAACCUGUCCCAGGCUGCUUCGGAGUGCCGUGACCCAGAUGCCUUCCAGAAGCUGGCAUCUCUCUCGGCUGUCUCCAGGUCUCCCACUACUCACUCCACCACAGCCUCCAGUUAUGCACAAUAUGGCAACUAUGGCAGUACUGGAGGACAAAGUGUGACUCCUGCCAGCUUGUUUCAGCAAGGGAAGUCCUACCACACCACCCAAGACUGUCCCAACAACAAGGAUUGCAGCUUCACCUAUGGUGGUGGCAACAGCCUGCCCUCCUCCCCAAGCAGUGCCCACAGCGUCAGCUACACCCAGCAGACUUCAGGGCCCAGCAUGUCCCUGAGUAAGCCCUCUUUCUUCAACAGCUCUGAUCCCAGCCAGUUCUCCAGCUCGUCUCACACCCCCAUGAGGUGUGACAGCCGGGCAAGCACUGUAUCGCCAGGGGGUUACAUGGUCCCUAAGAGUUCAAUCCCCUUCCAGCCCUCACCGGAGAACUGUAGGCAGUUUCCUAGUGCCUCUCAAUGGGCUUUCCGGCAAGGUUAUGGCCUGGACUGGAACCCUGAGUCCUUCAGUCAACUCUACAAUCCGGGCUUUGACUGCCACAUCAACGAACCCAACGUCAUCCUAGACAUCUCCAACUAUACACCCCAGAAGGCCAAGCAGCAGACGGUCUCGGAGACCUUCUCCGAAUCCUCCUCCGACAGUACCCAGUUCAACCAGCCAUCAGGCUACAGGAGGGCCAACAGUGAGGCUUCGUCUAGCGAAGGGCAGUCCAGCCUCUCUAGCUUGGAGAAGCUGAUGAUGGAUUGGAACGAGUCUUCUUCAGCCCCAGGUUAUAACUGGAACCAGAGCGUUUUAUUCCAAAGCAGCUCCAAACCAGGACGGGGCAGGCGAAAGAAAGUGGACAUAUUUGAUACUGCCCAUCUCAGUUUCUCCACGGGGGGCUACCCCUCCAAGAGAGGGACUGGUGCUCGGCAGCCUCGGGGUUCCCGGGGCGCCUGCACCUCCAAAAAAGAAAGAGGCACAGGCAAAGCUAAGUUCCCCACCAAAUCCCAGUCGGUCAACCCGCUGUUUCAAGACAGCACAGAUUUGGGGCUGGACUACUACAGCGGGGACAGCAGCAUGUCCCCUCUGCCUUCACAGUCCCGGAGCUUUGGGCUCAGCGAACGCGAUCCUUGUGACUACACAGGGCCCUACUCCAUGAAUCCUUCCACGCCUUCGGACGGCACCUUUGGGCAAGGGUUCCAGAGUGACUCGCCCAGCCUGGGGCAGACGGACUUGGAGAACAAGCAUUUCCCCACCCUGCCCCACCAGCUGGCUGCCCCGCCCUCUCAGCAGACGGUGUUCGAAGCCAGCUUGCAGAAAGCUUUCUCGCCCAACUGCUCCCCCACCCUGGCCUUCAAAGAGGACUUGCGGCCCAGUGACAUCCGGAAGCUUCCAGCCUGCGACUCGCUCAAACAUGGCAUCGCUGGGGUGGCCGGCUUGCCCCACUCGGCCCCCCACAUGGCCUGCCGGGACCUCUCCAUGUCUCAGCCUCACUAUGAUUCUCCCAGCUGUAAAAACCCCAGCUAUUGGUAUUCGCCCACGGCCAGCACCCGCAGCCCCCCCUACGACAACAAAGCCGGCGUGGGCAUGCUGCUAGACUUCAUGGGGAGGAGUCCCGAGGCUUCUUGCCUCAACCCCCAUUUGACCAGUCCCCCCAGCAGCAACCCUUCCAAGAGCGAGAAGGAGCCCAUGGACAUGGCAAGGGUUCAUCACCGAGGAGCCUAUAUUUGCCCCUUGAUGAAUGACUUAAAUAUCUCCCCGGUCCCGAGAGACUCGAUGCUGCCGCUGCAGGACAACUAUAGGUACCCCAGCUUUGCACCCCAAGGGCACCCAAUCAUGACCGCACCCCAGAAGAGCGCGUUUUUGGGUCCAAUGCUAGAACAGCAUCCCGAGGACACAUUCACAGUCACCUCCUUGUAGUGUCAUCUGAAGUGCCAACCAGACACGAGGUUUUGUUUCAGGAGCUACUUUAGCAGCACUUUUCUCUGGAACACUUUUCAAGUUCUGUAUUUAAUGGAAAUCAAAAACAAAACAAAAAAAACCCCCACCACACACACACGCACACACACACACAUAUAUGUAUGACAAAAAAAAAAAGACCCCUUUUUGUUCGCUCGUUUCUUGGUUGGUUCAUUUGCUUUUUUUUCUAAGAAAACAAAACAAAACAAAAAAGAAAAGAGAAAAAGAAAGACAAGAAGGAGGGAAAGAAGACAGAGGCGAACACCCCCACUCCACCCCUUUCUUUAAAAAACAAAGAGAAAGGGGGAAAAAAGAAAAUAUGAUGAAAAAAUCAAUAAACUUGCUUUCUUUGAUAAUGGCGGGGGGGGGGGGAGUUUUUGAAGCCGACCGGCGGGAGCUGUCUCAACCUACAGCCCAGCAAAAAGACAAUCGAAAAUCCUUGCAGAUGCUCAAGUCAAGAGUCACAAUGGAGGCUGCCAUAUCUCUGAGCCACCCACAACAUGCAGACAAGAAACACUCCAGAAGGCAACGGACAGAAACCAAGGACAUCCAGAGGGAAGGGGACAUUAAUUUUUGCUUUUUUUUUUUUUUUUAUGAUGGGGCAGAAGGUGUUGGGGAGGGAAAACUCUGUUGAUCUAUGAACGCCAAUGAAAACUCAUCAAGGAAGACUGAAGAUUGGGCAUUCUCUUCCUUCUUCACCUCUUCCUUCCCUUCCCUUAUGUCUCCCUCCUUUUUUUGCAGAUUUAUUUCAUUCCUUUUUUUUCUUCUUCUUCCCAGUGGUUGGUUGGUUGGUUUGCCUUUUUUUAAUUUUUUUUUUUUUACAAAAAAAGAAAAAGAAAAAAACUUUGUUGCUUAAUUUCUUUGGGGAGCCCAGAAGAUUUUACAAGUCUAUGAAUCAAUCUCGGAGACCACCACCUUCUCCCAUUUCUGUUACCCAAAGGAAGAAGAUUUCCUGUCUGCUCACCACCCUUGUUAUAAGCAUGCAACAGACCGGCUCCUUAUGACCUGUUUCUUUGCUGGAAUGGGGUGAGAGACAAGGAGAGAUCAACCAGGGAAGAUCACCAUCAUCACCACCACCACCGACCAAGAGAUUCCAGCAAAAUCACGGAAGACUUGCAUCGCCUUUUGGGGCGCUCUCCCCACGCUCUCUGUGUGGCUCCAACUCCUCUGUUACUGCUCCUCUCUGCCCCCUUAGUGCCGGAUGGAUCUGACUGGGAGAAGCUCGCAAGUUUUCUCCAUCGGAAAGCAACGAGGGAGGGUUGAGGGAAACAGGCCUUUUCUAUCUGCACAAAACCAGCAAUUGUAAAUACUUUUCAAAAAUGUAAAAAAAAGAAAAAGAAAAAUUACAAAAGAGCAAACACCAUGAAGAUGUAUACUCCCAUACAUUACACACACACACACAUACACACACUCAUUCAAAAUCUGAAAUGUUUUGAAGACAAAACAAAAAAUAAUAAUGGAGAGAAGAAAAAAAAAGGAGGCCAGAGAGUCAAAGCAGGAGAGAAGCUAAUUGUGUCGGAUAUGCACUGAGAAAUCUAUUUGCAGAUUGACAAAAAAAAAGUAACAAGAACCUAUUUAUUGUAUAUAAUGUUUUAUUAUAAAUCGUGAAUUGUAUAUUGCAUCUGUACAUCUGCUGUGGUUUUGUGAUGUGCAAAUUUCAGCAUGGGUUUCAUUGAGGUUUUCAGUUGCUUUUCUAUUGUUUUGGGGAGUUUUAAAAAAAAAAUUUUUUGUUUUGGGUUGUUUUUUUGUUUCGUUUUGGCAGGACACACCCAAAGACCCGAGUUUGUAUUAAAAAAAAAAAAAAAACUAGGGAAAAAAAAUAGACAAGCUAACACACCCUUUCGUUGAGGAAGGGAGGGGGGAGAGGGAGGGAGGGGAGGGGAGCAAAAGUUUUCUGAGUUCUCAUUGGCCACCUGUAAGCCCCAAUGAGUACAGUAAUCCUUCCUCCGCGUGCGCCCUUUUAUGCCAGUGCUGAGCUCAGGGUGGUGUGUGCGUGCGCGUGUACGCAUGCGUGCGACUCUUCCCCCCUCCCCACCCGCCUUUUGUCCUGCUCUCUAUUCCCUCCUUUUCCUGUUUUUUGGAAACUUCCGUACAGCUUUGUGGAUCGUGCAGAAAAAAAAACGAAAAAAAAAAAACCCCACCCCAUCCUGUGUUGUCCAUUUGUGCAUCUAAAUAUACCAGCCUUGGUAGUUGCUUGGAGACGAACACACUCAAAUCCUCCGGAUUGGCACCAUCUGAGCCGCUGCUGCUGCUGCUGCUUGCUUUGAUUCCUCUCCCUGGUCC